GUGGGUUCAAAAAACAGGACAAGGGAACAGAUGAAAAUGCUUUUGGCAGUCUAAUGCUGCAUGGGUUUUCUUUUGCUGGGAGCUCUGCCGAUCCGUGUGAGUCUAUCAUGAUGGUUGUCCUUUUCCUUUUUAGCAUCUCUUUCUAUUGGAAACUUAAUUAGGUUUAGCCAUACAAAGUUUGCUGAUCUCGUUUCUGAAGAGUUGCGACGUGAGUUUCCUGGGCCAGGUCUAAGAUGCCAUUGGUUGCAAUAGAUUAUCCGCACAGCCCAGAUUGCUCAAAUGCAGCCCCGAGGUUGUCCCAGCUCUAGCUUCCUACUUCAAGCUGUGUUACAUGAUCGUUGUAAACUCCGACAUGCUUGAUGUUGUCGUACCACCCGUCCGUGCGUCGGCGGAUUCAUUUCGAAUGCAAGUAUCGCACAGAAAGAGGCGAAGGCGUCGUAAUUUCAAUUUGAGCUCAAUUAAUUAGACUUUGCGAAACACAUAGAUUACGGCGGAUUGUGGAGCAUCGAAAGCAAUUCGCAUCAACAGGUUAGGAGUCUUUUUGCAUGCAGAGUUUAAAUUUUUAAUCUAAUCGUGUCGUUCAAAAGAAGGGGCGCGACGGAGUUGGGGCAUUCGUGGGUUUGAAGGCUGUCAGGACACAAGAGUGCAGCUCACUUAUCUUGUAUGGCUUGUGGUGUUGCCGUCUCCAGUUGUGAUAAGCGGAAACUCGGAGAUGGGGUUUAGAGAACACGUUCUCUAAAGCCAAAUUCACAAGUGGUGCUUGUCAUUUGUUGUUAAUCAAGAAGGCUUGACUUGCGACGGUGAAAAUUUGUUAAGCCAAUGCGGUGUUCCUGGCCGCCGUUAAGUCCCAAAGAAGGCAUCCGAAACACCACGAUUUCCACGAGGAACAACUGUUGAGACACCCACCUGCUUCUUGUGUUUAUCUUCGCAAGUUGUCAGUAGUUCAUGCAUUUUUGACACAAGGGUGAGAGUGGAAGGAGAACCGAUUAAUUGCCGCACGCGACCUGUUGCAGGAGAUCCCGGAAUUUCAGUGUGCAAGGUGGAGAGGAUCAAGAAUAAAUCACUUAGGAAUUUAUUCAUUGCAGCAAGGACAGGAAUCUUUAGGAACAGGUUCAAGGAUAGGUGCUUAGAUUUUGAGGUACAGACACAGAAAAACAGUGAUUUUAUGAGGGCUGGGCAACCAAGCUGAGUUUGGUGCACAUGUAAAACACGUGAUUUUAUGGCACUUUCAAAGAGUGAUGACUGGUGACAACCUUCUGACAUGGCUGAUUCAUUAGAAAGGUUUCAUAAUCUUGUAUUAUUCUCCAUUGCUUAACUGUAGUACAAAGUGGAAGCUGAUGGUGAG
rnacentral:lncRNA from 1 species